CAUUUUUGGCAAUGACCUAGCGCAGAAAAGCACAGCAUAACAUUUGAAAAAUUGAAAUAGUUCCAUUUAGCACCAAAAAGAAAAAAGAAACCGCUCUAAAUUGAAAUAGCGCGUAAGUAAUCAUAUACGGAGAUAUACCGGGUCGAUAUAGAUGUUGCCGUGGACGUUGUCAUGGAUUUGCUUAGAGAAUCUGAGAUCUUGAGACGAAGGGAAGUUGUAAUUGGAAGAGAAACUGAGGUCUUCAUUACAAAAAGCUCCCAUACUCACUGUUCGCUCUCUACUUCACCACUCUACACAGCAAAAAAAAAAAAAACAACGGAAAUUUGCAAAUAGCAAAAUCAAUAACAUUAGCAUUCGCAAUUUAAAGGGCACAGUAGAGUAAUUACGAAAACGUUACAUACCGUUUGAGUUGCUUCAAAGAGAGAGAACCGUUACAUACAGUUUGAGUUGCUUCAAGAGAGAGAAACAGAGAGAGAGCAGCUGGCGCCAGAGGAGGACGGAGAAUAUUUGAUUUGCACGAAAAUGGGAAGGGAAUGUGGGUGUGUUGGGUAGUGAUAAAGUAGUGCCGCAAAAGGGCCUUUAAUUUUAUUGUUUUUUUAUUUUAUUGCUAUUGCUGCUACAGGAAGCGACAAUCCGCUGAGAAAUUGGGGCCAGAGAGGCAUUGCGCCGGUGAGUAUUCGCCACCGCUAUUUUAAAAGGUAUUUUUGGACUCGUCUCGCAGUAGCGAUUCGAG
rnacentral:lncRNA from 1 species